GGGAAGCAAUUCAGACGGACUGAAUUCAGAGUGAGUAGUUGAUUGUGUGUGAAAAGCUUUUAGUGGCAGAUUCAGCAUCUAAGCUAAGGUUGAACUCCAAACUUCUCUAGGACUCAAUAGUUGGUUUGGUAAAUGGAAAUCCAAAAGUUGUAUGGAAGGCAGGCAUGAACAAGCAAUUAUCCAACUAUACAGUGAGUUUUUAGCCGAAUGUUCCCCUAUAAAGCGAGACUUAAUCUUGUAUCUUUAAUAACUUGAGUGAC